GAAAAACCUGAAGUUAAAACUGAGAUUUUAUUUUCAAAAUAAGUUGUUUCUCUUUUAAUACAAAGAAGCGGCUUGUUGCUGCAACAUUCUUGCCUGUGCUGGAUUAUGGUGAUAUUCUAUAUAUGAAUGCUUCUGCUCAAUGUCUUCGAAUGGUUGAUUCUGUGUAUCAUGCUUCUCUGAGGUUCAUCACUAACUGUAAAUUUCAGACUCACCACUGUGAGUUAUACUCUCAGGUAGGAUGGCCUGCUUUGGUAAGUCGGAGGAACUCUCAUUUAUACAGUUUUAUAUAUAAGGCGAUACUUGGGUUGCUGCCUUCUUAUAUAUGUUCCCUGCUUGUAAUGAAACAUGCUGGUCGGUAUUCUCUUCGUCCGCAUGGUUACUUGUUGCUUUCUGUUCCAUUUGCCCGAACUGAACUUGGUAAAAGAGCUUUUGUCCAUUUAGCACCCUCGGCCUGGAACAAACUGCAGAAGGAAUGGAAAAUGACUGAAUUCAUUUCAUUAAGUGAUUUUAAAUCUAAACUACGAAUCCUUGAGGCCAAGUCCAUAACAUGCAACUGUUUCAAUUAGAUUGAUUGUCAUUUUAACUGACUUUUUAUUUUAUUUGAAUUUUAUUUUUAUUUUAUUUGUAUUCUUUCACUUAUUGUUGCAUGUGUGUUGUUGCUGCCUGUGUUUGAGUAAUUUCUGUAACUGUGAGACAUCUGCUGCUGCCUAUCUUGGCCAGGUCUCCCUUGAAAAAGAGGUUUUUAAUCUCAAUGGGAUCUUCCUGGUUAAAUAAAGGUUAAUAAAUAAAUAAAUAAAUACUGAGAUCAUCAAUCAAAGGAGCCAAAGGGUUGUUUUCCCAGAGAUUUCUUGUUGUAACCAGAGGCGUCGCCCUCUGCUGGCUGUAAGAGAGACUGAAGACUUUACAGGCAUCACCUCGCUUUUCAAACGAUUAAGUUAUGUCCACCUCUCAGAAAUGUUCUACAAUGUGAACCCUUUCAAGUUGACUUCAACAUUAAAUUGCUGUUACAGAAUUCUUCCAUAAAUUCAGGAUUCUCUCAGCGCCAUCUGUCUUCUGCACAAAGUCUGUGGGAACCAGCAUUUACAAGCCACAAAAUACAGCCUAUGUACUUUGCACAAUCGGUUUGCUUGCAUAUGCAAAUAGAAAGAUUAACUGUUAGUAGCACAACCCUCAAACACUAUAGCAAGCUAACAAGCAACACACAGCAGGAAUGAGGUUGCAAGCACUACUCUAAAAAUAAUAUUUAUGUUACAGAAUAAACAUUUUUGCUUCUCUUUGGAUAUCACUUACCAGUUGCUAUGAUCUUGUGUUUUCCCCUCCAAAUGGCUACAUUUUGCUGAAAAUGUGGAUUUGUUACUAAAUGUCAAACAAAGCCAUACUUGGGUUUUUAGUAGGCUUUGUCAUGCACGCUGUUUGGAGGGAGUAUGCAAAAAGGUAUGCAGUAAAAAAGAUGAAAAAAAGACCACAUUUAAAAAAAUAAAAAAAUAAAAAAUAAAAAAUAGGAUGGCAAAACAAGUGAAAAUUCAUGUAUGUAGGAACUAACCUUCAUUUUUACCCAUGUUAAAAAGUUUUGUGUCUUUUCAAUUUCCAUCGGUUUCUUUGCUCUGAAUACUAAUGCAAAUUCCACAAAUGAAGGGUUUCAUUUUCAUCCCUACCAUGCUUUUUUGUUGCAUUGCAUGCCUCCCCUUUUUUUCCUUUGAUGUAUUCUUCUGCCAUUUUCUGAGGCUGCUGCAAUAGAUCAAUGUCCACAGGCAUUUCUAAUCAAUACCUUUACUUUUUUUUGCAAAUAAAAUCAAUGCACUCCAG
ensembl:lncRNA